rnacentral:lncRNA from 1 species
GCCUUGUGGCUCCUCCUGAACCACCUGCUCUUCUCCUGUGGGGGGGUGUGAGACAGCAAGGGUGAGCUCACACAUGAUCAUCGCUCAACAAGUUGUGGGGAAUAAUGUGACAUGAACUCACCAAAGGUGGGAGCUCAUGGAGUGUAAGGCUUAUCAAAGAGAAUGGUUAAAGCUGAGCAUUGCUUUUAAGUGUUGGUCAAAAUUUUAUUAGCAAUUACUAAGUGUAAGUAAAUACCAAACCUUAAUAAAUAAUAGAACAAAAUUAAUAGUAAACCCAUGCAAUGCAAAUGACAAAAUUGAAUUUAAGUUCCAUAAUUUAAACAUCAGAGAGUCCUGAGCUGCUCAUGACCGUGAGCUCGGCUAGUAUACCAGUUUUACACUCUGCAGAGGUUGUACCCUUUACCCACAAGUCAUGUUACCCAUCUGCCAAGGGGUCGCGAAUCCCAUACACCUCUACCUAGGAAGCGCGGCAGGGCAACACUACGAGGCCUUUACAAAGUUCCACUAGCUUCCGAAAACCCGCUACAGUUUAUGGGAAGAUCCAGUACAGGGUUCCUGGCUGACCGCCAUCGCAGCAAAAUCAACCAGGGACCUCCCCGCACUGACCUCUCCCCUACUGCCCUUGCCCCUUUCGGGUAAGGUAGUCUUCCACUAGCUUUCCUAGUUAAUCAGCCAAGGGCGUCCCAUUAAACCCUUGUGGUGGCACGUGGUUCUCAAGUUAAGCUCUAUGUUCCAAUUAACAUUAAUGAUAACAACAUGAACAUAAACAGAAUAACAACAAGAAUUGGAACAUAGAGGUGAUAAAUGAUUAUCCCAAAACCAUAUAAAGCAAUAGCAAACUACCCAAGUGAUUCAGGGGUAAACAAGGUAAUGAGAUAAACAAUCUAGGGUGACCUAUUGGGUCCCAUCAAAAUUAACCUAUGCAUGGAUAAGUGAUAUUAAAGAACAUUAUUGGGUAAAAAGUGGUCAAGGGCACAACUUGCCUGGCACUUGAGAUUCCAGGUACCGACUUGCUUUUCAGAUGACACGUGUCCUCGCGCUAGUCGUAGCAAUACAAACAAACAUGGUAUAGAUAAAAUUAACAUCACACCAAACAUAAGAAUAUACUGCAUAAUAAUGAUCUACGCGUUGCUACGAGACUAACGCAACUUGAAUGGAUCAAAUCGGAGUUAAAACGAAGAAAUUAUGAAUUUCCGAAGUUAUUAGGUACUUCGAAUAGAUUAAUUCAAAUGAACAAUUUUAAUUCAAGUUUCAAGGCUAAAUAGUGUUACUAGUUGAUAGACAAUAUUAAAACAAAAUUAUAGGAACUGGAAUGGGUUAAAAAGGAUUUAGUAUGCAUUUUCUAUGAUUUAUACAAGUUUCUACCAUUAUUUUUGUAUUAAAAAUGAAUUUAGAAAGAAUUUCUCUGAUUUUAUUGAUUCCUGGACUGGGCGCACUAUUACAGGAAAAGUCAGGGGCCAAAACAGAAACCUUUCUAAGACUCAGGACGCUAUUGCACGGACGGCGGGUUAGUUUUUAAGUUCUACAGGGUUUCUUUUGCAAUUUGACCACGGCUAAAGGGUACUGGCCGCCUAGAGUCAUCCGAUCCGGAACCGAGGGCCCAGAUCAACCUAUUACUUAACCGAACCGGUACGCGGUUGUGGUCGUCGGAUUAAAAUCCGAUGGCCCCGAGAGGCACACGCCUACACCCGAUCGCGAACACACGCUAGAGAUCCAAGGGUUCCGAUCUUAUUUGGCACACAGGAUACCCAUUCCGAUCCAAACCACCCAUAGGCGAUCGGACGGCCAGAGGGCCGUCUUCCUCCCACGACACUGAUACACGGCAGCGUAGCCCACUGUGCGGCGGCGACACCUCACCGGAGAUGCACAGCAACAAGCCCGACGACCAAACCAUCCCCGCGAGAACGCGCAAAAUGAAAUUCGUAUAUUCGCGAAUCUGAUAGAGGGUGCCUUACCGCCAAUGGGGAUGCGAAGGUGCAUAGCCACGACGCACGGCGGAUCUGAAGUGACCGAGCUGCGCCGACAAGAUAUUCCUUCCCCACCGCCUGUCGAUUUAGCCAUGUGAGGCCAAGGUCGCAUGCAGAGGACUCCCGCGAGCACCCGGAUUCCAGCAUGGAGUCCCAGGUAGCGGUGACACGAGGAUCAGCGCCGGCAGCUUGUUUCUCUCCCUCACUCUCUCUGGUUGCCACCCGCCAUAGAUACGCCAUGGACGAGCAUCCUGGCCAUGCCCGCGUUAGCGGGUGACGAAGGCUAGAGCUUCCCCGAGCGUACCUGCCACCCGCUCGAUCCCGUCGAUGGAGCCCGAUGCGAAUUCCCCAAUGGCGGCGGAUCUGCUCAACAAUGGUGGCGGCUCUCUGCGCAAUCUGAGGAAGCGGCUAGGGGAUAAGAAGGGGAGAGGGCUUUAGCUCGCCAUUUAUUGGCCGAGUGUGCGGG